rnacentral:rRNA from 1 species
UACAGAGGUGGCAAGCGUUGUUCGGAAUUACUGGGCGUAAAGGGCGCGUAGGCGGCCUUCUAAGUCAGACGUGAAAUCCCCAGGCUUAACUUGGGAACUGCGUCUGAUACUGGGAGGCUUGAGUGCGGGAGAGGGAUGUGGAAUUCCAGGUGUAGCGGUGAAAUGCGUAGAUAUCAGGAGGAACACCGAUGGCGAAGGCAGCUCGCUGGGACGGUACUGACGCUGAGGCGCGAAAGCGUGGGGAGCAAACAGG